AUGCUGCCGCUUCUGGCCCUGCAGGUGAUUCUCGAGUACGGCCGCGCCGGCGCCAGCCGCCCGCCCGUGACGGCGGCGCUCAUCGCCGCCAACGCGCUGGUGUACCUCCGCCCGGGCGCCCUCGACGCGUUCCUCCCGCCGCUCUCCCGCGUCGCCUUCAACCCGCACCUCAUCAUCCAGUACGGCGACCUGACGCGCUUCUUCCUGUCAGCUUUCUACCACCUGAGUGAAACCCACUUCUUCUACAACAUGACGUCUCUCUUGUGGAAGGGCAUACAGCUUGAAACAUCAAUGGGCAGUGUUGAGUUUGCUUCUAUGGUCACUGCCUUGCUUGGCCUGUCUCAGGGCUUCACACUGCUCUUGUCCAAAGGUCUACUCCUUCUCGGCAAUGAGACUGCGUAUUACGAUCAAUAUGCCGUUGGAUUCUCCGGGGUGCUGUUUGGUAUGAAGAUUGUGCUGAAUGCCUGGUCAGAUGAUUAUGUCUUCCUGCAUGGGAUGGUCAUUCCAGCAAAGUAUGCUGCGUGGGCUGAACUGCUCCUCAUACAGGCCUUCAUUCCCGGGACGUCCUUCAUUGGCCAUCUUAGCGGGAUUCUUGCUGGUCUAGCCUAUCUUUGGAUAAAGCGAUCAUACUCCGGGCCGGACCCGCUUUCUCUUCUGAUCUCGGGCAUUGCAAAUGUUGUAAGUUGGCCGGUGAAAUUCGCUCAGAGGCUCCUGAGGCCUGGUCGUCGUCAGGGGGGCAGAGUUGGGCGCCGCGCAGCAAGAGAGAGCGGCAGAGGCAUGUGGAGAUGCGCGGCCUGCACUUUUGACAACUCGCCUUCGGUAGAUAUCUGUGAGAUGUGCAACAGCAUGCGUGAGGAUCGUGUUUUUCCCAACAGACAGCAUCUCCAGGAUGGGGGAAGCAGUGACCUCUCGGUUGAUGAGAUACGCCGUAGGAGGCUGCAAAGGUUUGACAGAUGA
rnacentral:rRNA from 1 species